UUUUAAAAAGAAAACUCAGGGCCGGCCCGGUAGCACAGUGAUUAAGUGUGCACACUCCGCUGCGGCAGCCCAGGGUUCACAGGUUCAGAUCCCGGGUGUGCAC